rnacentral:rRNA from 1 species
AUUGAACGCUGGCGGCAGGCCUAACACAUGCAGGUCGAACGGUAACAGGAAACAGCUUGCUGUUUCGCUGACGAGUGGCGGACGGGUGAGUAAUGUCUGGGAAACUGCCUGAUGGAGGGGGAUAACUACUGGAAACGGUAGCUAAUACCGCAUAACGUCGCAAGACCAAAGAGGGGGACCUUCGGGCCUCUUGCCAUCGGAUGUGCCCAGAUGGGAUUAGCUAGUAGGUGGGGUAACGGCUCACCUAGGCGACGAUCCCUAGCUGGUCUGAGAGGAUGACCAGCCACACUGGAACUGAGACACGGUCCAGACUCCUACGGGAGGCAGCAGUGGGGAAUAUUGCACAAUGGGCGCAAGCCUGAUGCAGCCAUGCCGCGUGUAUGAAGAAGGCCUUCGGGUUGUAAAGUACUUUCAGCGGGGAUGAAGGGAGUAAAGUUAAUACCUUUGCUCAUUGACGUUACCCGCAGAAGAAGCACCGGCUAACCCCGUG